rnacentral:tRNA from 1 species
GGUGUAGCGCAGUUGGUAGCGCGCUUGGUUCGGGACCAAGAGGUCAUGGGUUCAAAUCCCGUCACU